GUUGGUGCACUUUCAGGUGUUGUCAAUUACCGUGUAUUGAGAUGGGUGCAAUUAAACGAGGCAUGUGUGAUAUUUACAUGUUUCAGGCCCUCUUUAUUCGAGCCUGUUCAUGGACAGCUUUGUGAAGUGCAAUCUACUGUCCUACCCCUUAGCAUUGGUUUGUCAGGACAUACAGGAGCUGGCCUGCAGGCACUUUGGUGUAGAUAUGGAGCAGUGACGCCAGCCACUGGCACCAGGUACGUGCCAGUCUAGAGGGGACUGAUCAGUCAGCCGACCAGACCAUGACCUGGAUUACUGGCAACCUUUCUACCAGUCAUCCAGCUCUUUACAGAAUUGCUGCUGUGGGUCUCCUCCUCCCAACCUCUACUGCAGAUUUUGAGCGAGGAUUCAGCUGCCUGAAGAGAGUUAAGACUGAAAACAGGAAUUGUCUCUCUGUUAAAGUUCUAAACUAUCUUCUUGCCGUCUCCCUGUAAGGACCCCCAUUAGAAUCUUUCAACUUUGAGAAGGCAGUCAAGGCAUGGAAGGACAACAAACCUAGAAGACAGGCCCUCUUUUAAUGAUGUUAAUGAAGAAAAAACAACUGAAAUAUACUCAUUUAAAUAGGACACACACAUACAUAUAAAUGUUGAUCACAUUUUGUGAACUUGUGUUUAUAUAUAAUUGUUUAUUUAUUUGAAUUGUUGGAAAUGUAAAAAGUAAAUAAUAAAAAUUAAGAAAAUGUUUAUCAAGUGAAAAGCUUUCAUUAUUUGUUUUAAAACAGCCCACAGCAGUAUCUUGACACCUUAAAUGGCAAAAAUUUUCGACACGCGGUAUGGGGGUCAAGACCCCCUCCCGCACCCACCCCCGUCUUAUUAAAAAAUUGUAGCGCUUAAAAAAAAUCCUGGGGAAUUCCCUG